rnacentral:rRNA from 1 species
GGUGACCUUCGGGACUCUGACACAGGUGCUGGCAUGGCUGUCGUCAGCUCGUGUCGUGAGAUGUUGGGUUAAGUCCCGUAAACGAGCGCAAACCCUUGUCCUUAGUUACCAGCACGUUAUGGUGGGCACUCUAAAGGAGACUGCCGGUGAACAAAAACCGGAAGGAAAGGUGGGGAUGACGUCAAAGUCAUCAUGGCCCUUACGGCCUGGGCUACACACGUGCUACAAAUGGUCGGUACAGAGGGUUGCCAAAGCCGCGAGGUGGAGCUAAAAUCUCAACAAAAAAACCGAUCGUAGUCCGGAUCGCAGUCUGCAAACUCGAACUGCGUGAAAGUCGGAAAAUCGCUAGUAAAUCGCGAAAUCAGAAAUGUCGCGGUGAAAUACGUUCCCGGGCCUUGUACACACCGCCCGUCACACCAUGGGAGUGGGUUGCACCAGAAAGUAGCUAGUCUAAACCUUCGGGGGGACGGUUACCACGGUGUGAUUCAUGACUGGGGUGAAGUCGUAAACAAAGGUAGCCGUAGGGGAAACCUGCGGCUGGAUCACCUCCUUAA